rnacentral:misc_RNA from 1 species
ACUGGAAAUGGGGUUACUAGGGAAUUUGGUUUAAGAUUGUGGGCACAAGAGAAUUUGAUGGGUACUGUUGAAGAAGCUGAAAGGUACAAUACAACUAAGCGCAGAGAUUUGGUAAUGGGGUUGGGGUUCUGUGGAGUUACAAGUUUUUUGGUGGGUUCUUGUUAUGCUGAGGCAGCUGGAUUGCCACCUGAGGAAAAACCAAAACUUUGUGAUGCUACAUGUGAGAAAGAGCUUGAAAAUGUUCCUAUGGUAACAACCGAAUCAGGUUUGCAGUAUAAGGACAUCAAAGUUGGUCGAGGCCCUAGUCCCCCUGUUGGUUUCCA